rnacentral:rRNA from 1 species
AGCUACAGGCUUAACACAUGCAAGUCGAGGGGCAGCAUUUUAGUUUGCUUGCAAACUGAAGAUGGCGACCGGCGCACGGGUGAGUAACACGUAUCCAACCUGCCGAUAACUCCGGAAUAGCCUUUCGAAAGAAAGAUUAAUACCGGAUAGCAUACGAAUAUCGCAUGAUAUUUUUAUUAAAGAAUUUCGGUUAUCGAUGGGGAUGCGUUCCAUUAGUUUGUUGGCGGGGUAACGGCCCACCAAGACUACGAUGGAUAGGGGUUCUGAGAGGAAGGUCCCCCACAUUGGAACUGAGACACGGUCCAAACUCCUACGGGAGGCAGCAGUGAGGAAUAUUGGUCAAUGGGCGAGAGCCUGAACCAGCCAAGUAGCGUGAAGGAUGAAGGCUCUAUGGGUCGUAAACUUCUUUUAUAUGGGAAUAAAGUUUUCCACGUGUGGAAAUUUUGUAUGUACCAUAUGAAUAAGGAUCGGCUAACUCCGUGCCAGCAGCCGCGGUAAUACGGAAGAUCCGAGCGUUAUCCGGGAUUUAUUGGGUUUAAAGGGAGCGUAAGUGGAAUGGUUAAGUCAGUUGUGAAAGUUUGCCGCUCAACCGUAAAAUUGCAGUUGAAACUGGCAGUCUUGAGUACAGUAGAGGUGGGCGGAAUUCGUGGUGUAGCGGUGAAAUGCUUAGAUAUCACGAAGAACUCCGAUUGCGAAGGCAGCUCACUAGACUGUCACUGACACUGAUGCUCGAAAGUGUGGGUAUCAAACAGGAUUAGAUACCCUGGUAGUCCACACAGUAAACGAUGAAUACUCGCUGUUUGCGAUAUACAGUAAGCGGCCAAGCGAAAGCAUUAAGUAUUCCACCUGGGGAGUACGCCGGCAACGGUGAAACUCAAAGGAAUUGACGGGGGCCCGCACAAGCGGAGGAACAUGUGGUUUAAUUCGAUGAUACGCGAGGAACCUUACCCGGGCUUAAAUUGCAACAGAAUAUAUUGGAAACAGUAUAGCCGUAAGGCUGUUGUGAAGGUGCUGCAUGGUUGUCGUCAGCUCGUGCCGUGAGGUGUCGGCUUAAGUGCCAUAACGAGCGCAACCCUUAUCUUUAGUUACUAACAGGUCAUGCUGAGGACUCUAGAGAGACUGCCGUCGUAAGAUGUGAGGAAGGUGGGGAUGACGUCAAAUCAGCACGGCCCUUACGUCCGGGGCUACACACGUGUUACAAUGGGGGGUACAGAAGGCGGCUACCUGGUGACAGGAUGCUAAUCCCAAAAACCUCUCUCAGUUCGGAUCGAAGUCUGCAACCCGACUUCGUGAAGCUGGAUUCGCUAGUAAUCGCGCAUCAGCCAUGGCGCGGUGAAUACGUUCCCGGGCCUUGUACACACCGCCCGUCAAGCCAUGAAAGCCGGGGGUACCUGAAGUACGUAACCGCAAGGAGCGUCCUAGGGUAAAACUGGUAAUUGGGGCG